rnacentral:rRNA from 1 species
ACUCAAAGGAAUAGACGGGGGCCCGCACAAGCGGUGGAGCAUGUGGUUUAAUUCGAUGCAACGCGAAGAACCUUACCAAGACUUGACAUGGAGACGACAGGUGUAGAGAUACAUCCUUCCUUCGGGACGUCUCACACAGGUGGUGCAUGGUUGUCGUCAGCUCGUGUCGUGAGAUGUUGGGUUAAGUCCCGCAACGAGCGCAACCCUUACUGUUAGUAGCCAUCAGGUUAUGCUGGGCACUCUAACGGGACUGCCGCGGAUAACGCGGAGGAAGGUGGGGACGACGUCAAAUCAUCAUGCCCUUUAUGUCUUGGGCAACACACGUGCUACAAUGGCUGCAACAAAGUGAAGCGAACCCGCGAGGGGAAGCAAACCACAAAAAAGCAGUCUCAGUUCGGAUUGUAGUCUGCAACUCGACUAUAUGAAGCUGGAAUCGCUAGUAAUCGCAAAUCAGCAUGUUGCGGUGAAUACGUUCCCGGGCCUUGUACACACCGCCCGU